rnacentral:rRNA from 1 species
UCCGGUUGAUCCUGCCGGACCCGACCGCUAUCGGGGUAGGGCUAAGCCAUGGGAGUCGAACGCCCCGCCGCUGCGGGGCGUGGCGGACGGCUGAGUAACACGUGGCUAACCUACCCUCGGGACGGGGAUAACCCCUCGGGAAACUGGGGCUAAUCCCCGAUAGGCGGGGGGUGCCUGGAAGGGUCCUCCGCCGAAAGGGGCCGCGGGGGGUUAUCGCCCGCGGUCCGCCCGAGGAUGGGGCUGCGGCCCAUCACGGUAGUUGGCGGGGUAAUGGCCCGCCAAGCCUACGACGGGUAGGGGCCGUGAGAGCGGGAGCCCCCAGAUGGGCACUGAGACAAGGGCCCAGGCCCUACGGGGCGCACCAAGCGCGAAAACUCCGCAAUGCGGGCAACCGUGACGGGGCUACCCCGAGUGCCCCCCUUGGGGGGGCUUUUCCCCGCUGUAAGUAGGCGGGGGAAUAAGCGGGGGGCAAGACUGGUGUCAGCCGCCGCGGUAAUACCAGCCCCGCGAGCGGUCGGGGUGUUUACUGGGCCUAAAGCGCCCGUAGCCGGCUCGACAAGUCCCCGCCUAAAGCCCCGGGCUCAACCCGGGGAGUGGCGGGGAUACUGUCGGGCUAGGGGGCGGGAGAGGCCGAGGGUACUCCCGGGGUAGGGGCGAAAUCCAUUAAUCCCGGGAGGACCACCAGUGGCGAAGGCGCUCGGCUGGAACGCGCCCGACGGUGAGGGGCGAAAGCCGGGGGAGCGAACCGGAUUAGAUACCCGGGUAGUCCCGGCUGUAAACGAUGCGGGCUAGGUGUUGGGCGGGCGUGCGAGCCCGCCCAGUGCCGCAGGGAAGCCGUUAAGCCCGCCGCCUGGGGAGUACGGCCGCAAGGCUGAAACUUAAAGGAAUUGGCGGGGGAGCACCACAAGGGGUGGAGCCUGCGGCUUAAUUGGAGUCAACGCCGGGAACCUCCACCGGGGGCGACAGCAGGAUGACGGCCAGGCUGAAGGCCUUGCCCGACGCGCUGAGGGGAGGUGCAUGGCCGUCGCCAGCUCGUGCCGUGAGGUGUCCUGUUAAGUCAGGCAACGAGCGAGACCCCCGCCCCUAGUUGCCAUCCCCGGGGCGACCCGGGGGGCACACUAGGGGGACUGCCGCCGCUAAGGCGGAGGAAGGAGGGGGCAACGGCAGGUCAGCAUGCCCCUAAACCCCCGGGCUGCACGCGGGCUACAAUGGCGGGGACAGCGGGUGCCGACCCCGAAAGGGGGAGGCAAUCCCUCAAACCCCGCCUCAGUUGGGAUCGAGGGCUGCAACUCGCCCUCGUGAACGUGGAAUCCCUAGUAACCGCGCGUCAUCAUCGCGCGGUGAAUACGUCCCUGCUCCUUGCACACACUGCCCGUCGCUCCACCCGA